rnacentral:rRNA from 1 species
GAUCGAACAGAUCCAGGAAGGGGGCUUGCGUUUUCACACAAACCCCUUUUUAAAAUGUGUAGAAUGACCUCAUUUUUGCGAUAACACGCAAUCAAUACAACUUUCAACAACGGAUCUCUUGGCUCUCGCAUCGAUGAAAGAACGCAGCGAAAUGCGGUACGUAAUGUGAAUUGCAGAAUUCAGUGAAUCAUCGAAUCUUUGAACGCACCUUGCGCCCCUUGGUAUUCCGAGGGGCACACCCGUUUGAGUGUCGUGAAAAUCUCAACCUUCUCGGUUUCUUCUGGACACCGAAGGAGGCUUGGACUUUGGAGGUCUUUGCUGGUGUCUCUCGCCAGCUCCUCUCAAAUGAAUUAGCGGGGUCCUCUUUGCCGAUCCUCGACAUGUGAUAAGGUGUUUCCGUGUCUUGGUUUAUGGCUCUGUCGCUUUUGGGACCCGCUUCUAACCGUCUCGACGAGACGAUGUUUGAGCGUGUCUCCCUACUCGGGAAACACUCUCGAACCCACGAACCCUUGA